rnacentral:misc_RNA from 1 species
UUGUGGAGGAGGACGCCGAAGGUGGGGCUGAUGACUGGGGUGAAGUCGUAACAAGGUAGCCGUACCGGAAGGUGCGGCUGGAUCACCUCCUAACAGGGAGACAAAACUGAUUAUGAUGUCUGAUUAAAAAAUUAGGCCUUAAUCCUGUCACCUUAGGUCGAUCGGUACCUCAGAUUGAGAGCUUUAGAAUGAGGAGUAAUUCUUAUAUUUCGUUUUCAAUUUCAGUUCCUAAACUUGUCUAGGUCACACCCAACAAACUUUCUCCUGGGCUAUUAGCUCAGGCGGUUAGAGCGCACCCCUGAUAAGGGUGAGGUCCCUGGUUCAAGUCCAGGAUGGCCCAUUCGGUGUUGGGGGUAUAGCUCAGUUGGUAGAGCGCCUGCUUUGCAAGCAGGAUGUCAGCGGUUCGAGUCCGCUUACCUCCACUGAUCAACUACCUAAUAACUCUUUAUAAAGGGGAAUUUUUCUUGAUGUGUGCUUUAGACGUUGUUCGUUGAAUGAACCUAACUUCAUAUCAUUCCUUAAAACAUAACUUUUGAGGCUGGUAAGACGUUGGGCUCUCUGCAUUUCAAAUAAUUGAUUUGCAAGAAAGUUCAGCAGAACCUUGACAACUGCAUAGAAAAGUCUGGAAAGAAUAAAGCAUCUCAUAGAUGUAUAUAAUCUAUUGAUUUAUCAAUUGGUUAUAUAUUCAAUUCUAAUGAAAAAGCCGAGUAUCUAUAGUUCUUUCUUUAUACUUAUAACUGAAUAAUUUCAGCUUAAUUUGUGUAUAGAUAGGAAACUUUAGAUAAUUAUAUGGUCAAGCUACAA